rnacentral:tRNA from 1 species
AAUAAGAAGCAAAAAAUGCAUUUAAUUUCGACUUAAAAGAUAGGGAUAAAUAUCCCCUUAUUUU